AAGGAACCACUAGAUGGAAAAUGGAAGAGUCAAGUUUGCUGCUGUUCCUUCUCCUCAUCAGGGGUUGGAAGGGAGCUCUGGAGAUCAUCUAGUCCAAUUCCUCUUCUAAAGCAGAUUUUCUACAGGAGUUUGCACAGGCACUUCCAACCUGUUCUCAUGCUAUGAUCAAUAUUUUCUGCUAUUUUCCGUCUAUCCAGCUAUAUGUGAAAAUCUGGAGCAAGGGUUAUUGAGCCAAAUUUCAUCAUCUGGCAGCUAGAAGGCCCGUAGCAAGGUGGAGAAGCUGGCAUUUGCAUUGAGAUUCCAAUUAAGUUGAAAUUAGCAUGAACCUCUGUUCAGUAACUGAUGUUUAAUGUAUGGCAGAUGAAAUGGUACUUUGAUAAACGGACUCCAAGGAUUGUUAUGACAUUUCUCGUCUGCAUCCUACAACGUGAUUAGACUGCCAUAGUGCUGCGUGAUUAAUAGAGUUAGUUCUAUCUGCACUGAACCUUUCUGGCACAGGAAUCUCUUAGAAACAGUGUACCUUAGAAAUGCUUGCAUUGCAUCCUAUUGUCAAAAUCCAACCAACCAAGAAGGAGGUUCAUCAGCCAUGCCAUAUGUUGCAGGGGUUGGCUGACUCCAGACCCUUCAUUUAAAAAAAAAAAAAAGGUUUUUCAGUAUCAUUUUUUGAGGAAGUGUGGGUUGCUACAUUUCCAUUACAUCCACAGCACUGAGAAUCUCGCAAGAAAUCAAUACACCCCGGUGAUUUAAAUGCUUCUCUUUUAGAUGGUCUGUGUUUCUAAAACAUAUCUCAUGUCAGACAUUUGCCAAGGCCCAUUUAAGCAGAAAUUGGCUUGCUUGUGUAGUGGGAACAUUUUCCCCCAGAACAAAAGGGAUCGGUUCAUCUUGUCAAGAAGUUUUGUUGUUACUUGGGUUGCAAAUGGUGCUGUUUCUCUUCACCACCUUGCUUUUCUCAUUCUUCCCAUCACUUGCAGGGAAGUACGCUCAGGGAGCAGCGAGCUGUUGACAAUGCAGAGAGGCCCUGAGAAAGGCCUUAACAGUACAAACCAAGCAUUAGGAAGGGACCAUAAUUUUCCCUGGCUGAGAGAAGAUUCAUUCUAUUUAACUGCCAAUCCAUGUGGUAAAUACCAUUGCUUCCAUUUUCAACGCUCUUUCACAGCUCAGCACAGGUGGAGCUUCCCCAUCCCAUGAUGCUUGAGCCAUGGGCAUUCAGCCUUCCCCUACUGCUGGGGGGCAGGUGCUACAGCUCAGAGCACUGUUCUGUGAGGGCAGGCCACGUGGGCAGCAAUUUUCCAGUCUUGGAGCCACCUUUGGGCUUUAAUAUUAAAGCAUGGCUGACAAGGUGAUUUAUCUUUCAUGCAUUUUUUUACUUGUGUAGUUGUUCAGCCAAUUUUUUCUUUAUUGCAAGUUAUAAUUUAAUUGGUGUAUCUCUGCAAAAAAAAAGUUUUGAUUUUUCUCAUAGUAGUCACAAUCUUUUUUCAGUCUAUUUUUAACCAUUUUAAAGUUGUAUUUUCUCACUGGUAAAUACCAGUUAUUUAAGAUUUAUGGGUUUUGUUCUUUUGCACGUAACUCUUUCCCCAAGGAUUAAACUUGAAAUAAAUUACUUCAUAUUGUUACUC
ensembl:lncRNA